UACUUUCAAAUCUGCCCAGAAAGCAAGAAAGCAAAAAAUACUCAGGGAAACCAUGUUCUUGCAAUUACAAAUGUUUCUUUUUCAAAGAUUCCAGACAAAAAAGCUCAGUGGCAACAAGACUGUAUACAACUGUUCAACGCCACCCGCUGUAUAACACUGGCACUGCAAAUAAAAUGCAGAAAGAAGCAGCCUGACCUGUACCUCACCUCACUCUGCAACUCAGUUGGCUGUGUGUCCCUUAGCAAGGUGAACUGCCUGUGGGAAAUUCCAUUGCACAUCUCAUGCUGCGUGGGAUAAUGUCUGAAGAAGUGGCUUUCCUGGGAAGCGUGUCUUCAUAUAAACCAUAGAAAUACCGUGCAUGUUAACACAUAAUGGGUUCAUUUUCCAAACUGGGGCAAAGGACUAAGUGCAAAAAAAAAAUAAUAAAAAUGAACACAAAUCAA